CUGAGUACUACACUCCCUACCCUUUGUGAACUAUUAUACCUGUUGCUUCGGCGGCGCCCGCGAGGGUGCCCGCCGGUCUCAUCAGAAUCUCUGUUUUCGAACCCGACGAUACUUCUGAGUGUUCUUAGCGAACUGUCA
rnacentral:misc_RNA from 1 species